UAGGGAAUCUUCGGCAAUGGACGAAAGUCUGACCGAGCAACGCCGCGUGAGUGAAGAAGGUUUUCGGAUCGUAAAACUCUGUUGUUAGAGAAGAACAAGGACGUUAGUAACUGAACGUCCCCUGACGGUAUCUAACCAGAAAGCCACGGCUAACUACGUGCCAGCAGCCGCGGUAAUACGUAGGCGGCAAGCGUUGUCCGGAUUUAUUGGGCGUAAAGCGAGCGCAGGCGGUUUCUUAAGUCUGAUGUGAAAGCCCCCGGCUCAACCGGGGAGGGUCAUUGGAAACUGGGAGACUUGAGUGCAGAAGAGGAGAGUGGAAUUCCAUGUGUAGCGGUGAAAUGCGUAGAUAUAUGGAGGAACACCAGUGGCGAAGGCGGCUCUCUGGUCUGUAACUGACGCUGAGGCUCGAAAGCGUGGGGAGCAAACAGG
rnacentral:rRNA from 1 species